rnacentral:rRNA from 1 species
AUACGUAGGGAGCGAGCGUUGUCCGGAAUUACUGGGUGUAAAGGGAGCGUAGGCGGGAGUGCAAGUCAGAUGUGAAAUACAAGGGCUCAACCCAUGGGCUGCAUUUGAACCUGCAUGUCUUGAGUGAAGUACAGGUAAGCGGAAUUCCUGGCGUAGCGGUGACAUGCGUAGAGAUUGGGAGGAACACCAGUGGCGAAGGCGACUUUCUGGGACGUAACUGACGCUGAGGCGCGAAAGCGUGGGGAGCAAACAGGAUUAGAUACCCUGGUAGUCCACGCUGUAAACGAUGAUUACUAGGUGUGGGGGGACUGACCCCAUCCGUGCCGGAGUUAACACAAUAAGUAAUCCACCUGGGGAGUACGGCCGCAAGGUUGAAACUCAAAUGAAUUGACGGGG